rnacentral:rRNA from 1 species
UUAAAGAGUUCUAUAACUCCCAAACCCAUGUGAACAUACCUAACGUUGCCUCGGCAGGUCGCACCUACCUUGUAGCGCCUUACCCUGUAAGGCCUACCCGGGAGGUGCGGGUAAGCCUGCCGGCGGCCCACCAAACUCUGUUUGAUAUUGAAUUCUGAACCUAUAACUAAAUAAGUUAAAACUUUCAACAACGGAUCUCUUGGUUCUGGCAUCGAUGAAGAACGCAGCGAAAUGCGAUAAGUAAUGUGAAUUGCAGAAUUCAGUGAAUCAUCGAAUCUUUGAACGCAUAUUGCGCCCAUUAGUAUUCUAGUGGGCAGGACCGUUCGAGCGUCAUUUCAACCCUUAAGCCUUCGUUGCUUAGUGUUGGGAGCCUACGGCAACGUAGCUCCUCAAAGUUAGUGGCGGAGUUGGUUCACACUCUAGACGUAGUAAUUUUUUAUCUCGCCUAUUAGUUGGACUAAUCCCCUGCCGUAAAACCCCCAAUUUAUCAAGGUUGACCUCGAAUCGGUUCAGACAAACUCGCUAAAUUGAAGCAUCUUAGUCAGCGAAGGAAAAGAAACCAACAGGGAUUGCCCUAGUAACGGCGAGUGAAGCGGCAACAGCUCAAAUUUGAAAUCUGGCCCUCGGGUCCGAGUUGUAAUUUGUAGAGGAUGCUUUUGGCGCGGUGCCUU